rnacentral:rRNA from 1 species
CGAUGGGCCGACGUCGCAUGCUCCCGGCCGCCAUGGUUAGAGUUUGAUCCUGGCUCAGAUUGAACGCUGGCGGCAUGCUUUACACAUGCAAGUCGAACGGUAACAGGCCGCAAGGUGCUGACGAGUGGCGAACGGGUGAGUAAUGUAUCGGAACGUGCCCAGUCGUGGGGGAUAACGCAGCGAAAGCUGCGCUAAUACCGCAUACGAUCUAUGGAUGAAAGCGGGGGACCGUAAGGCCUCGCGCGAUUGGAGCGGCCGAUAUCAGAUUAGGUAGUUGGUGGGGUAAAGGCUCACCAAGCCAACGAUCUGUAGCUGGUCUGAGGGGACGACCAGCCACACUGGGACUGAGACACGGCCCAGACUCCUACGGGAGGCAGCAGUGGGGAAUUUUGGACAAUGGGCGCAAGCCUGAUCCAGCAAUGCCGCGUGCAGGAAGAAGGCCUUCGGGUUGUAAACUGCUUUUGUACGGAACGAAACGGUCCUGGUUAAUACCUGGGGCUAAUGACGGUACCGUAAGAAUAAGCACCGGCUAACUACGUGCCAGCAGCCGCGGUAAUACGUAGGGUGCAAGCGUUAAUCGGAAUUACUGGGCGUAAAGCGUGCGCAGGCGGUUUUGUAAGACAGGCGUGAAAUCCCCGGGCUUAACCUGGGAAUGGCGUUUGUGACUGCAAAGCUGGAGUGCGGCAGAGGGGGAUGGAAUUCCGCGUGUAGCAGUGAAAUGCGUAGAUAUGCGGAGGAACACCGAUGGCGAGAGCAAUCCCCUGGGCCUGCACUGACGCUCCAGC